rnacentral:tRNA from 1 species
AUCCAUAUAGUUUAACUUAAAACAAUUCAUUUUCAAUGAAUAAAUGAGAAUCACUCUAUAGAUA